rnacentral:rRNA from 1 species
CCCUUAGAUGUUCUGGGCUGCACGCGCGCUACACUGAUGCGUUCAACGAGUUUAUGACCUUGCCCGAUAGGGUUGGGUAAUCUUUUUAAAUCGCAUCGUGAUGGGGAUAGAUUAUUGCAAUUAUUCAUCUUCAACGAGGAAUUCCUAGUAAACGCAAGUCAUCAGCUUGCAUUGAUUACGUCCCUGCCCUUUGUACACACCGCCCGUCGCACCUACCGAUUGAAUGGUCCGGUGAAAUCUUCGGAUCUGAGAGAUGUCUGAUUAAUUUCGGACGCCUUUUGGAAAAGUUGCUUAAACCUUACCAUUUAGAGGAAGGUGAAGUCGUAACA